AGGCGUCCCCAUGGCGUGGGUGCCAUUCCUCCUCACCCUGCUCACCCAUUGCACAGGAUCUUUGGCUGACUUUGCCCUGACUCAGCCCCGCUCUGUGUCAGGGUCUCCAGGACAGAAAGUCACCAUCUCCUGCACUCGUAGCAGUGGCAACAUUGGAAGCUACUAUGUGCACUGGUACCAGCAGCAGCCGGGUAGAGCCCCCACCACUGUGAUCUAUAACGAUAACCAAAGACCCUCUGGGGUUCCAGAUCGGUUCUCGGGCUCCAUUGACAGCUCCUCCAACUCUGCCUCCCUGACCAUCUCUGCGCUGCAGGCUGAGGAUGAGGCCGACUACUACUGUCAGUCUUAUGAUAACAGUGACAUUCACACAGUGCUCCAGACCAAGGGGGAAGUGAGACAAAAACUCCCCAGAGCGUCCUCGCCCUGGGUCUACCCUCAACCUGGGAAGGAUGUGAAGCUCUUUUAUCUUUUCUGCUUCAAUACUUCAGUUGGGCUCCUUGCUGAACCUGACUAG